UUGGGUGCGGCCCCGGUCUAAGUUCCUUGGAACAGGACGUCAUAGAGGGUGAGAAUCCCGUAUGUGAUCGGUGGCUUGCGCCCGUGUAAAGCUCUUUCGACGAGUCGGGUUGUUUGGGAAUGCAGCUCUAAAUGGGUGGUAAAUUUCAUCUAAAGCUAAAUAUUGGCCAGAGACCGAUAGCGCACAAGUAGAGUGAUCGAAAGAUGAAAAGGACUUUGGAAAGAGAGUUAAACAGUACGUGAAAUUGUUGAAAGGGAAGCGCUUGCAACCAGACUUGCGCGGGGUUGAUCAUCCGGGGUUCUCCCCGGUGCACUCGGCCUCGCUCAGGCCAGCAUCGGUUUCGGUGGUUGGAUAAAGGCCUUGGGAAUGUGACUUCUUUCGGGGAGUGUUAUAGCCCUCGGUGCAAUGCAGCCUACCGGGACCGAGGACCGCGCUUCGGCUAGGAUGCUGGCGUAAUGGUUGUAAGCGACCCGUCUUGAAACACGGACCAAGGAGUCUAACAUCUAUGCGAGUGUUUGGGUGUCAAACCCAUACGCGUAAUGAAAGUGAACGGAGGUGAGAACCCUUAAGGGUGCAUCAUCGACCGAUCCUGAUGUCUUCGGAUGGAUUUGAGUAAGAGCAUAGCUGUUGGGACCCGAAAGAUGGUGAACUAUGCCUGAAUAGGGUGAAGCCAGAGGAAACUCUGGUGGAGGCUCGCAGCGGUUCUGACGUGCAAAUCGAUCGUCAAAUUUGGGCAUAGG
rnacentral:rRNA from 1 species